rnacentral:sRNA from 1 species
UCCUAGCCCUGAUAGAAACGGUUACCCCGGAACAUGUGUUGGAGAGCUGUAGGGAAAAGGAGUUGGAGAGCGUUGGCGUGAGGAGUAUGAGUGGAUAGCAGGAAAAAGC